ncrna:Panagrellus redivivus microRNA prd-mir-7964a precursor
UAGCCGUGUUUGGGACCCGUGAAGCGACCGGGUCAACCACUCGCUGCUACC